AGGCGAGCUCAGGGAGGACAGAAACCUCCCGUGGAGCAGAAGGGCAAAAGCUCGCUUGAUCUAGAUUUUCAGUAUGAUUACAUACUUAUAU
rnacentral:ncRNA from 1 species